GCUUGGGAAUUUGCCUUGAGGUGGGGGACAACAGUUGGAAACGACUGCUAAUACCGCAUAUUGUCUACGGACUAAAGGGGGCUUCGGCUCUCGCCUUUAGAGAAGCCCAAGUGGGAUUAGGUAGUUGGUAGGGUAAAAGCCUACCAAGCCGACGAUCCCUAGCUGGUUUGAGAGGAUGAUCAGCCACACUGGAACUGAGACACGGUCCAGACUCCUACGGGAGGCAGCAGUGGGGAAUAUUGCACAAUGGGCGCAAGCCUGAUGCAGCCAUGCCGCGUGUGUGAAGAAGGCCCUAGGGUU
rnacentral:rRNA from 1 species